AACGCACAUUGCGCCCGCUAGUAUUCUGGCGGGCAUGCCUGUUCGAGCGUCAUUUCAACCAUCAAGCCCCCGGGCUUGCGUUGGGGCCCUGCGGCUGCCGCAGGCCCCUAAAAGCAGUGGCGGGCUCGCUGUCACACCGAGCGCAGUAGCGAUAUUCGCUCCGGGCGUCGGCGGCGGGCACCGGCCGUGAAACCCCCCAUUUCUCAAGGUUGACCUCGGAUCAGGUAGGAAUACCCGCUGAACUUAA
rnacentral:misc_RNA from 1 species